rnacentral:rRNA from 1 species
UACAGAGGGGGCAAGCGUUGUCCGGAGUUACUGGGCGUAAAGCGCACGCAGGCGGCUUGGCACGUGUGCGGUGAAAGCGCUGGGCUUAACCCAGCGUCGCCCGCGCAUACGGCCCGGCUCGAGCCCGGGAGAGGUCCCUCGAAUGGCCGGUGUAGUGGUGAAAUGCGUAGAGAUCGGCCGGAAGACCAAAGGGGAAGCCAGGGGACUGGCCCGGUGCUGACGCUCAGGUGCGACAGCGUGGGGAGCGAACCGG